rnacentral:rRNA from 1 species
UACAGAGGUCCCGAGCGUUGUUCGGAUUCACUGGGCGUAAAGGGUGCGUAGGUGGCGAGGUAAGUCGGAUGUGAAAGCUCGGAGCUCAACUCCGAAAUGGCAUUGGAAACUACCUUGCUCGAGGGUUGGAGGGGGGACUGGAAUACUUGGUGUAGCAGUGAAAUGCGUAGAUAUCAGGAGGAACACCGGUGGCGAAGGCGGAUUUCUGGACCAGUUCUGACACUGAUGAGCGAAAGCCAGGGGAGCAAACAGG